UGGGGCGUAAAGGGUCUGUAGGUGGUUUGUUAAGUCAGAUGUGAAAGCCCAGGGCUCAACCUUGGAACUGCAUUUGAUACUGGCAAACUAGAGUAUGGUAGAGGAAUGGGGAAUUUCUGGUGUAGCGGUGAAAUGCGUAGAGAUCAGAAGGAACACCAAUGGCGAAGGCAACAUUCUGGACCAAUACUGACACUGAGGGACGAAAGCGUGGGGAUCAAACAGGAUUAGAUACCCUGGUAGUCCACGCUGUAAACGAUGAGUACUAGCUGUUGGAUUCGGUGUAAAGGAUCUAGUGGCGUAGCUAACGCGUUAAGUACUCCGCCUGGGGACUACGGCCGCAAGGCUAAAACUCAAAGGAAUUGACGGGGACCCGCACAAGCGGUGGAGCAUGUGGUUUAAUUCGAUGCAACGCGAAGAACCUUACCUGGUCUUGACAUCCUGCGAACUUUCUAGAGAUAGAUUGGUGCCUUCGGGAACGCAGUGACAGGUGCUGCACGGCUGUCGUCAGCUCGUGUUGUGAAAUGUUGGGUUAAGUCCCGCAACGAGCGCAACCCCUAUUGAUAGUUACCAUCAUUAAGUUGGGUACUCUAUUGAGACUGCCGCUGACAAGGCGGAGGAAGGUGGGGACGACGUCAAGUCAUCAUGGCCCUUACGACCAGGGCUACACACGUGCUACAAUGGGUAUUACAGAGGGCAGCGAAGUAGCGAUAUGGAGCGAAACUCAGAAAGGUACUCUUAGUCCGGAUUGCAGUCUGCAACUCGACUGCAUGAAGUCGGAAUCGCUAGU
rnacentral:rRNA from 1 species